rnacentral:lncRNA from 1 species
AGAGUUGGAAGAGCACUUUCAAACUUCGUCCCUUCCCCCUCCGGAGUCCUCUCCCCCAGCGAGCCCCCCGACUUAUGCGUCGAGGUCCCCUCCUGAGGCCGGACCCCCAGUACCACCUGGGUCCCCAGAGAGAUGGGAAGGGGCCCCCGGGUGGCCUGCUCCCCUGGAGGACCCCCACAUCCCUCACGGAGAGAUCAUUUACGUGCCUCCCUCGGCCUGGGAGCCUUGGGGCGGAGGAGGCCGAGCUCGCUGCCCCGCACCCCGAGGCCCAGCCUGGGGGUCCAGCCCCCCUCCCAAGGUCCCUAGGAGCCUAUUGGGUGUAGGGUGUGGGGGGUCCACAAUGGAGGAGCUGCCCCAGAGGCCAGCCAGCCCGUUGGUCCUGGGCGUCCCAGGGAUGAAGAGAGGCCCUGAGUGCUUUCGAGACUUGGGGAAACGGGGUGCUGCAGGCCGGGCGAGGAGGGGUCCCAUUCCCCGGCUCGUGACUGAUCUUCGGGAAGAGUGCAGUUAUCCAGGGAGCCCACCGCCAUUUUGCUGGGAAGAUGCAACGUCUUUGUUAAAAUGUAAACAUUUCCUCCUGGAGCUCCGCAGGUACAGACCAAGUGGACAAGGGGCGCCACGGUCUGUGCGCAGUCCUGGGCUCGGGGUGGGGCUUUAGGGGCUCAGAUGCCCGCAGAAGGAACCCCAGAGACCCCAGGAGCCCUGCUCACGGUGCCAGGUCCUCUGGGCAGGGAGUGGGAUCCUUGCCGGGAUAGGACUCUGGGACGCUUGCUCCUGGGCCCCUCCCUCAAACAACCCGCUUUUAUUCCUUAGCAAAAAGGUCUGUCACUCUUUAAUUGAACAAUACACUGGCAG